GAAAUGAUCCAAGUCUUGAAACAUGCAAGAAAAUUGAAGAAAAUGAGAGAUAAAAGAGACCACAAAAGGGUUAUGGUGUUGGCCACAACCCAGUGGUCAGGAGUUGUUUUUAGAAAUUUUAUGUUUUAUUUUGAGUUGGUCUUGGACCUAUUACUUGUUUCAGGUUUUAAACAGACCCUUUGGAAUUUGUUUCGGAAGUCUCCAACCAGGGGAAACCUGAGGAGAAGCGAC
rnacentral:lncRNA from 1 species